GCAUUUCUAAGUGUUUGAAAAGGCACCCUGCAAACUGCCCUACUAAGGCAGAGGUCAGAGGUUCGAAUCCUCUAAGGUGCGCCA
rnacentral:tRNA from 1 species